UACGUAGGUCCCGAGCGUUGUCCGGAUUUAUUGGGCGUAAAGCGAGCGCAGGUGGUUUAUUAAGUCUGGUGUAAAAGGCAGUGGCUCAACCAUUGUAUGCAUUGGAAACUGGUAGACUUGAGUGCAGGAGAGGAGAGUGGAAUCCCAUGUGUAGCGGUGAAACGCGUAGAUAUAUGGAGGAACACCGGUGGCGAAAGCGGCUCUCUGGCCUGUAACUGACACUGAGGCUCGAAAGCGUGGGGAGCAAACAGG
rnacentral:rRNA from 1 species